CAACGGUGACAGUGACAGUGGAUCACCUCUGCUGGUGCAGAUUUUCACCAGUGAAAAUACAUAGCUAAUGAUGGUGACUACAUUAAAAAACGGCGCUUUGUAGAAAGUGUGUUUGAGGACUUCUCCCAUGGCUCUUCUGAUAGAGGUCAACUCUCAGUCUGCACUGACGAGUAUCUGAGGUGGAUUUCCCACCAUUGGAAAGCUGGCAGGACAGUAGCUGUGAGGAAUCGGUGUAGCAGCAUGGAAACCAGCACAUCGUAUUACUGGGGAAGUUGGAUUUGUGCAUGUUUUUCCCCCAGAGCUCUGAGGAAAUGCCAAAAGAAACCCUCUAAAUACAGUUGUCUCUCAAAAGAUGGUAUUGAAGGAAAAUGAAAGUGGAAUGACACCAGCUGGAGAUUCAUGGAUGUUUUGGGAAACAAACUUAGGCAAAGUCAAGGUGGAAGCCAAGUGUGGAUGUUAAAGAGGG
ensembl:lncRNA